GACGAACGCUGGCGGCGUGCUUAACACAUGCAAGUCGAACGAUGAAGCAGAGAAACGCGCCCUUCGGUUCAAAUUUCACUUCGGAUUAGUGGCAGACGGGUGAGUAACGCGUGAGCAACCUACCUCUUACAAAGGGAUAGCCUCGGGAAACCGUGAUUAAUACCAUAUGACACAUUCAUAAGGCAUCUUAAGACUGUUAAAGCUACGGCGGUAAGAGAUGGGCUCGCGUCCCAUUAGCUAGUUGGUGAGGUAACGGCCCACCAAGGCGACGAUGGGUAACCGGCCUGAGAGGGGGAACGGUCACAUUGGAACUGAGACACGGUCCAAACUCCUACGGGAGGCAGCAGUGGGGAAUAUUGCACAAUGGAGGGAACUCUGAUGCAGCGACGCCGCGUGAGCGAUGAAGGAAUUCGUUUCGUAAAGCUCUGUUCUAUGGGAAGAAAAGGACUGUACCAUAGGAGAAAGCCCCGGCUAAAUACGUG
rnacentral:rRNA from 1 species